UACGUAGGGGGCAAGCGUUGUCCGGAUUUAUUGGGCGUAAAGAGCGUGUAGGCGGCUAGGUAGGUCCGUUGUGAAAACUCGAGGCUCAACCUCGAGACGCCGGUGGAAACCAUCAGGCUAGAGUCCGGAAGAGGAGAGUGGAAUUCCUGGUGUAGCGGUGAAAUGCGCAGAUAUCAGGAAGAACACCCGUGGCUAAGGCGGCUCUCUAGUACGGUACUGACGCUGAGACGCGAAAGCGUGGGGAGCGAACAGG
rnacentral:rRNA from 1 species